rnacentral:tRNA from 1 species
GCCACCUUAGCUCAGUUGGCAGAGCGGCGCACUCGUAACGCGCAGGUCUCCAGUUCGAUCCUGGAAGGUGGCU